rnacentral:rRNA from 1 species
AGCAGCCGCGGUAAUUCCAGCUCCAAUAGCGUAUAUUAAAGUUGUUGCAGUUAAAAAGCUCGUAGUUGAAUUUCGGGGUCAGCAAGUUGGUCGUGCCACUGGUAUGCACUGGCUUUGCUGAUUCCUCCUUCUUGAAGAACUGUGAUGCUAUUAAUUUGGUGUUGCAGGGAAACAGGACUGUUACUUUGAAAAAAUUAGAGUGUUUAAAGCAGGCUAACGCUUGAAUACAUUAGCAUGGAAUAAUGAAAUAGGACGUUUGAUCCUAUUUUGUUGGUUUCUAGGAUUGACGUAAUGAUUAAUAGGGAUAGUUGGGGGCAUUAGUAUUCAAUUGUCAGAGGUGAAAUUCUUGGAUUUAUUGAAGACUAACUACUGCGAAAGCAUUUGCCAAGGAUGUUUUCAUUAAUCAAGAACGAAAGUUAGGGGAUCGAAGACGAUCAGAUACCGUCGUAG